UACGAAGGGUGCGAGCGUUACUCGGAAUUACUGGGCGUAAAGCGUGCGUAGGUGGUUGUUUAAGUCUGUCGUGAAAGCCCUGGGCUCAACCUGGGAAUUGCGAUGGAUACUGGGCGACUAGAGUGUGGUAGAGGACAGUGGAAUUUCCGGUGUAGCAGUGAAAUGCGUAGAGAUCGGAAGGAACAUCUGUGGCGAAGGCGACUGUCUGGGCCAACACUGACACUGAGGCACGAAAGCGUGGGGAGCAAACAGG
rnacentral:rRNA from 1 species